rnacentral:rRNA from 1 species
CACCGCGGUUAUACGAGAGGCCCAAGUUGUCAGCCUUCGGCGUAAAGAGUGGUUAGAAUCUUUAAUACUAAACUGAGGCCGAACAGCUUCAAGGCAGUUAUACGCUUCCGAAGACAUGAAGCACAUUUACGAAGGUAGCCUCACCCAAUUUGAACCCACGAAAGCUAAGGCA